GCAGUUCUAUUAAAACACAGGUCCAAUCUGUGGGGAGUGAUUUCUCCCCUGAUAUUCACAUACAGUUCUAUUAAAACACAGGUCCAAUCUGUGGGGAGUGAUUUCUCCCCUGAUAUUCACAUGCAGUUCUAUUAAAACACAGGUCCAAUCUGUGGGGAGUGAUUUCUCCCCUGAUAUUCACAGACAGUUCUAUUAAAACACAGGUCCAAUAGAAGAAAUGAAAAAUAUGACUCAGACUGCUCUUAACUGGAGUCACGUGGACUGUGUUUUAAAUAUAUAUUGUUUGUGUGUGUGCGUGCGUGGUUGUGGUUGUGUAUUAAGGCACAGGCUAGCACCAGGUGUUGAGCGGGGAAUUUAUGGUGUUUCCGGGUCUUUUUAUGGAGACAACCCAGUGUUCUGUCUCCAAGGGUGUCCUCCCUCCUACUCCUUCUCUCCUUCCUCCUCCACCCCUCCUUCUCUCUUUCUGUCCUCCUCUCCUUCCUCCUCCACCCCUCCUUCUAACUCCUCCGUCUUGGGCCCAUCAGGCCUUGUUUUCCCAGAUUUUGGGAUUGCCGCGGCGAUUGUGACAGCGUUUCUUAUUGGUGGUUGACCUCUGGAAGCGUUUGGGCCAGCCGGACCGCUCCCUGCAGAGCUCAGCUGGGAUGGAGAGAAGAGAGAGAGGAUGUGUGGGCUCAGAUGUACAUGCUGUCCUAAAGCCAGUAAGUGUUUCAUGCACUCUAAGAUUGUUAUGUUGUUGUAAUCCUAACAACGGGUCUAAUGAAGUGCUAUCAGGUGGACUGUCUUACCCUUCAGGUACUCAUCCUGUUGGCAGACAGUUCUAACACAUAUCUCCUUGUUGAUCACAUAGAGGGAGGCUGAGACAAACCAGGAGACAUACAUCAUUACACUAUAAUCAGAGCCCAGCUGCUGUCUCUAAAACAUGCCUCUCUGUACAGGCUCUCAGGUUGAAACCAAUGAACUUUGACUGCAUGACCAGGAGGCACUGAGUGUGUCUAUGUUUUCCUGUGAGAGAGAACCUGUAGUUGCAGUUUACCUGUAAAGGCAGAGGGAGUGGAUGCAUCUCUUGAUGGGCCGGUGGACAGAGUACAUCCUGGUACAGGGGUACGUCUCUUCCCUACAGUCUAGCACAGAGGAUACACACAACAUCCAGAUAACUCACACACAAUGUUUAGAUAACACAGGACACCCCUGGUCAUCCCUGGCCUAACAUUGUUUAGUGAUGUUUCUGUUCCACAUUGAAGACCUUAGUCACCAGGCGGUAGGGUAGAGACAGACACCUCACUCACCAGGCGAUAGGG
ensembl:lncRNA